rnacentral:ncRNA from 1 species
GGGAUGGGUAGGGGAGCGUCGUUCAGCCAUUGAAGCGCCGGAGUGAUCCAGGUGUGGAGGCUGGACGAGUGAGAAUGCAGGCAUGAGUAGCGAAAGACGAGUGAGAAACUCGUCCGCCGGAUGACCAAGGGUUCCUGGGCCAGGCUAAUCCGCCCAGGGUAAGUCGGGACCUAAGGCGAGGCCGACAGGCGUAGUCGAUGGACAACGGGUUGAUAUUCCCGUACCCGUGUGAACGCGCCCAUGGCGAACCUUGUGAUACUAACCGCCCGAAGCCC